UCACCACGUCGAUUUUUCAGAAUCCUUUCUCUCUCUACCUUCAGUUUUCUCUCUCGUCUUGCGAAUAUCGGCUCUGCUUGCGUCUUUCAUCUUCUUCAACUUCCUUGCAUAUCUCUUCAUCUUCUUUGCGAUCUUCUUUCAAUUCUACAAGGUCCACAUAUCUAUUCAGAUUCUUAGGGACAAGCAAGAAUUAGCUGAAACUCAAAGAGAACUUGCCAAGCUUCAGCUUGCACAGAAAGAAACCUGGUCUGAAGCUCAAGAUGAAAGAUCUACUGGUUCUGCAUCCGAGUCAAAGAAUGAUGAUAUAUCACAUACUCCUAGCACCCAAUUAGCUCUGGCCUUGCCUAGUCAAAUAGCCCAACAACCUUCUCACCCCGCUGCACAACAACAAUCUGUUGCACCUACACAACCAUCAGCACAAAGUCAUAGCCAGCUGAACCCUUAUUACUUGCCUUCUAAUCAGUUACCAAACCCUCAAGCACAAGCACAAGCACAAUCACAAUCACAUCCUUCAUAUGUUACAGCUGAUGCUCAGUAUCGAGUGCCUCAGUUAGCACCACAAGCUUCCCAACCAUCACAAACUCAAGUGAAUCAGACUCCACAUGCCCAACAAUUUUCUCAGUAUCAGCAGUGACCCCAGCAAGUUUCCCAACCUAUAGAGAUUAUAUAGUUGUUGGUGAUUGGGAUGUUAGAGCUAGCACGGGCUUGAAAAGAAGAAUGCAGACGUGAAAGCACGAAAAUUAUGAAUUAUGAUUUAUUUUUUUCAAGUAUUAGUAAUGCCUAUUAGCUCAAUUGGUAGAGCUUUGUGCGAUUGCACAAUGAUGUAGGUUCGAAUCCUACAUAUAUAGGCAACUCUUUGUUUAAAAAAGUAAUUUUUUUUUUGCUCAUUUGUGUAAAAUUAUAAAUAAUGAGCAAGUUUUUUUUUUUUAAUAUUGAGUAAUUUGAGAUUUUAAAAUAUUUGCUCAUUUGUUUAAACAAUAAAGAAUGAGCAAAAAUAUUUGCUCAUUUAUGUAAACUAUAAAAAAUGAGUAAAAAUAUUUGCUCAUUUGUGUGAACUAUAUAAAAUGAGCAAAAAUAUUUUUGCUCAUGGUGUCUAAAUGAGCAAAUAUUAAAGUUCGGAUUUUAAAGUUUUUGCUCAUUGUGUCUAAAUGAGCAAAUAUUAAAGUUCGGAUUUAAAACAUUUGCUUAUUGUUUUUAAAUGAGCAAAUAUUAAAGUCCGAUUUUAAACUUUUGCUCAUGGUGUCUAAAUGAGCAAAUAUUAAAAUCCGAAUUUUAAACUUUUGCACAUUGUGUCUAAAUGAGAAAAUAUUGUAGUUUCACUUUUAGGUUUUUGCUCAUUGUUUUGAAAUGAGUAAAUAUUAAAGUUCGGAUUUUAAACAUUUUCUCAUUGGGUCUAAAUGAGCAAAUAUUAAAAUCCGAACUUUAAAAUUUUGCUAAUUGUGUCUAAAUGAGCAAAUAUUAAAAUUCGGAUUUUAAAAUUUUGCUCAUUGUGUCUAAAUGAGCAAAUAUUAAAGUUCGGAUUUUAAACAUUUGCUCAUUGUUUUUAAAUGAGCAAAUAUUAAAGUUCGAUUUUAAAGUUUUGCUCAUUGUGUCUAAAUGAGCAAAUAUUAUAGUUCCGAUUUUAAAGUUUUGCUCAUUGUGUUUAAAUGAGCAAAUAUUAAAAUCCGAACUUUAAACAUUUGCUCAUUGUGUCUAAAUGAGCAAAUAUUGUAGUUUCAAUUUUAGAUUUUUGCUCAUUGUUUUUAAAUGAGUAAAUGUUAACGUUCGGAUUUUAAACAUUUGCUCAUUGGGUCUAAAUGAGCAAAUAUUAAAAUCCGAACUUUAAACUUUUGCUUAUUGUGUCUAAAUGAGAAAAUAUUAAAGUUCGGAUUUUCAAAUUUUGUUUAUUGUGUCUAAAUGAGCAAAUAUUAAAGUUCGGAUUUUAAACAUUUGCUCAUUGUUUUUAAAUAAGCAAAUAUUAAAGUUCGAUUUUAAACUUUGGCUCAUUGUGUCUAAAUGAGCAAAUAUUAUAGUUCCGAUUUUAAAGUUUUGCUCAUUGUGUCUAAAUGAGCAAAUAUUAAAAUCCGAACUUCAAACUUUUGCUCAUUGUGUCUAAAUGAGCAAAAAUUUUGAAUAUUAACAAACCCCAACUUUAAAACUUAAAAAAUGAGCAAAAAUAUUUUCUCAUUUGUGUAAAUAUAUAAAAUAAGCAAAAAUAUUUGCUCAUUAAUUUUUUUUUUCUUGAAUGUUAAGUAAUUUGAGAUUUUAAAAUAUUUUCUCAUUUAGACAAAAUGAGCAAAAGUUUUGAAUAUUAACAAACUCGGAAUUUAAAAUUUUAUAAAUGAGCAAAAAUAUUUUAAAAUCAUGAAAUGAACAUUAAAUCUCAACAAAAUUAAUAUCAAAUUAUGAAAUGAACUUUAAAUCAUGAAAUGAACUUUAAAAUCAUGAUUACAGGUGUUAUAUCAUAAUUAGAACCAAUAUACUUGUCAAAAGUUGGAUUCCAUUCUGCACAUCCAUGCAGUUCACUAUGCCAGUGAUUCCAGUUCUCUGAACUUCUUUGUUGAGUUCAACUCCUCUCUAAAUACCCUACAUAAGCUCUUGUGCAUAGAAGGGGCUAACAGUUACUACACGGUCUGAUUCCAGAAUACCCGCCUUCAUCCAGUCAAUUUUCCUACCCUUUACAGGUUUAUCAUACCUGAUAAAAAUCAAGUCGAAUUCCUGAAUGCUGCUGAUCUGUUUAUGGUUCCGAUAUUAUGCAACUUGUAGGUGCACAAAAUGCAGCUCUGUCGUCUAAACUUGAUUCCAACAGGGUGGCAGCUGUUAAUGCAGACAAUACAUAAAGUAUCAUCAGUAUUAAUGAAAAUGUGAAUGAGGACAGGGGAGCUACUGGUUUAGCACCUGCAUCACAGCUGGUAAAAGAGGAAGAAAGAGAGAAGGUAGAGUCGGACUCCCAGUCUAAUGGAAAUACGUCACAACUCCCUUUGGAGGAGUUCUGGUGAUUCUUAUGGCCUCAAUCAUGUUACAAAUUCUACAGAUAGGUAGCAAUUAUUGGCUGGCAUGGGAAACACCCUCAUCAAAUGAUAUAUAGGAUGUUGUGAGUGGAUCUACACUAACGACUGUCUAUGCAUGGCUCUUGGCAUAUGUUUCUGCACCCUUGUUGUAGCUAUAGGAUAUAAAACUUCAACCGCACUUUUCAGAAAAAUGCUUGAGACUACUUUCCACGCUCCUAUGUCAUUCUUUGAUGCUACACCUGCUGGAAGAAUUCUCAACAAAUGCUCAACUGAUCAAACUGCCAUGGAGACUCGAAUCCCGUCCCUACUUGAUGGAUUUUUUCCCUCACAACCAAACUUGUGGAAAUUAUAGAUGUGAUGUCCACAGUUUCCUAGGAAGUUUUGGUCAUUUUCAUCCCCUUGAUUUUAGCCUCCAUCCAGCAAUACUAUAUGCCUGCUUCGAGAGAACUAUCAAGAUUGAGCCAAGUAUCUGAAGCUCCGGUUAUUCAGUAUUUUUCUGAAACAAUUUCUGGAAUAACAACUAGAAGGAGCUUGAUCAAGAGUCAAGAUAAGAAAAGUGAGAAAAACAUUCUGAAAUACAGCUGCCACAACCAUACCUACUUGCAGAACUCAAUCCUGAACUUUAAAGCUCCUCGGGUGGUACAACCACAGAGUGCUGGAAAGCAAUUUGUAGCAUAGGAGGUUCUGAUGCAUGUCUGUCAAAGCAUAAAGAACAGAGCUUAAAACACAAUUUCACACAUGAAUUAUGCAGACACAAAAAUUUUCUGAAGGUCACACAAAUAUUUGCUCAUUUAGACACAAUGAGCAAGUUUUGAAUAUUAACAAACCUGAACUUUAAAGUGAAGAUUAACCUACGUGGGAUUCGAACCCACAUCUUUUGUGCAUUUGCACAAUGCUCUACCUAUUGAGCUAGUAGGCUAGUGGUUUUAAAAAGGAUCAACAAAAGUAAAGAAAAAACCAAAAAAAAGUAAGAUCCCCUGCAACCUGUGUUGUUGGUUGGCAGCCAGCUUUGUCAAGUGACUAUAUACUCUAAUACUACAGCAUAGGAGAUCG